rnacentral:ncRNA from 2 species
CUAGGCUCGGCGAGCCGUGGUGCUCGGGAAGCCGGUGUGACGCCGGCGCGGCCCUCGCCACUGUGAAUCGGGUGCUUCGACCUGUCCCCGUGAGGGGAGCCACUGGACGCCAUCACGUCUGGGAAGGUGUCAGGUCGCGGCGGUUCGAGGCCGRACUUCGGUCCGGUGCGAACGACCCGUCAGCCAGGAGACCGGCCACGGCACCGAGUACCCA